rnacentral:rRNA from 14 species
CGAAAUUCCUUGUCGGGUAAGUUCCGACCUGCACGAAUGGUGUAACGAUCUGGGCACUGUCUCAACCAUGAGCUCGGUGAAAUUGUAGUCUCGGUGAAGAUGCCGGGUACCCGCAACGGGACGAAAAGACCCCGUGCACCUUUACUAUAGCUUCGCAUUGAAUUUGGGUAAAUGAUGUGUAGGAUAGGUGGGAGACGUUGAUCUGGCUUCGCUAGGAGUUAGUUAGUCGUCCUUGAAAUACCACCCUUUAUUUGCUUGAAUUCUAAUCCCGCAAGGCGGGAGACAUUGCGUGGUGGGUAGUUUGACUGGGGUGGUCGCCUCCAAAAGAGUAACGGAGGCUUCUAAAGGUUCCCUCAGCACGCUUGGUAACCGUGCGUAGAGUGCAAUGGCACAAGGGAGCUUGACUGUGAGACCGACAAGUCGAGCAGGUACGAAAGUAGAGCAUAGUGAUCCGGUGGUUCCGCAUGGAAGGGCCAUCGCUCAAAGGAUAAAAGGUACGCCGGGAUAACAGGCUGAUCUCCCCCAA